rnacentral:rRNA from 1 species
UACCAGCCCCCUGAGUGGUAAGGACGAUUAUUUGGCUUAAAGCGUCUGUAGCCGGCUUAGUGAGUCUCUUGUUAAAUCCAAUGAUUCAAUCAUUGAACUGCAAGAGAUACUACUAUGCUAGAGGACGGGAGAGGUCGACGGUAGUCCAAGGGUAGGGGUGAAAUCCUAUAAUCCUUGGAGGACCACCAGUGGCGAAGGCGGUCGACUAGAACGUGCCUGACGGUGAGGGACGAAAGCUGGGGGAGCGAACCGGAUUAGAUACCCGGGUAGUCCCAGCUGUAAACGAUGCGGGCUAGGUGUAGGGGCAGCUACGAGCUGCUCCUGUGCCGCAGAGAAAUUGUUAAGCCCGCCGCCUGGGGAUACGAUCGCAAGAUUGAAACUUAAAGGAAUUGGCGGGGAGCACCACAAGGGAUGAAGGCUGCGGUUU